rnacentral:rRNA from 1 species
UGGCGGCAUGCCUAACACAUGCAAGUCGAACGAACUCUUCGGAGUUAGUGGCGCACGGGUGCGUAACGCGUGGGAAUCUGCCCUUGGGUACGGAAUAACUCAGAGAAAUUUGUGCUAAUACCGUAUAAUGUCUUCGGACCAAAGAUUUAUCGCCCAAGGAUGAGCCCGCGUAAGAUUAGCUAGUUGGUGGGGUAAAAGCCUACCAAGGCGACGAUCUUUAGCUGGUCUGAGAGGAUGAUCAGCCACACUGGGACUGAGACACGGCCCAGACUCCUACGGGAGGCAGCAGUGGGGAAUAUUGGACAAUGGGCGAAAGCCUGAUCCAGCAAUGCCGCGUGAGUGAUGAAGGCCUUAGGGUUGUAAAGCUCUUUUACCCGGGAUGAUAAUGACAGUACCGGGAGAAUAAGCUCCGGCUAACUCCGUGCCAGCAGCCGCGGUAAUACGGAGGGAGCUAGCGUUGUUCGGAAUUACUGGGCGUAAAGCGCGCGUAGGCGGUCUUUUAAGUCAGAGGUGAAAGCCCGGGGCUCAACCCCGGAAUAGCCUUUGAAACUGGAAGACUUGAAUCUUGGAGAGGUCAGUGGAAUUCCGAGUGUAGAGGUGAAAUUCGUAGAUAUUCGGAAGAACACCAGUGGCGAAGGCGACUGACUGGACAAGUAUUGACGCUGAGGUGCGAAAGCGUGGGG